rnacentral:rRNA from 1 species
UACGAAGGGGGCUAGCGUUGUUCGGAAUUAUUGGGCGUAAAGGGCGCGUAGGCGGGCUGUCAAGUCUGGGGUGAAAUCCCGCGGCUCAACCGUGGAACUGCCUCAGAUACUGACGGCCUCGAGGGAGGUAGGGGCGAGCGGAACUAAUGGUGGAGCGGUGAAAUGCGUUGAUAUCAUUAGGAACUCCGGUGGCGAAGGCGGCUCGCUGGACCUCUUCUGACGCUGAGGCGCGAAAGCCAGGGGAGCAAACGGG